UCAACUGUAAGGACUAUUAUUUAUGCCUUUUGUUCAUGUUUCUAUAAUAAUAUUGAUAUUUUCAAAUUUAUAUUGCCGAUACGUAUAUUUUUAAUCUCCUAUCUGUAAAACGUCUCAUCUUGCAAGUGGCUUUGGGGCCCUGUAUUCUAUGUUAUGUUAUGGGCUUUAGAACUUUAAGCUGUAGGUCUUUCUGGUCCUGGAACCCGUAUUUCUGGCUCCACGUGACAUAUACAUUGCCUAAUUCAUUUUUUUUUUUUUACAGAAAUCUUCAGAUUCCAUCCAAUUUGGUCACUUGAUAGAUGUUUCCAUCUCUUUGGGUCACAAGAUCUGUAAGUCUACUUCCACUUGGUUUCUUAAGGCCAUUGGAUUUGAUGAAACCUCAAGAUACUUCACCUGUGGACCGGAUAACUUUUCUUCCUGCCUUGGUCCAUCUAGAGGCAACUGAAUGUCUGGAUAUCUAGGCUGAGGAAAGGAUAAGAGGAACUCAGAGGAGUGAAAAUUCUUUCUGGCCUGAUAAACCAAAAGAAAGACAGUUAAGUGGGGGAGUUGAGAAGUGAGUGAAGAACUUCUAAGCUCACUGAGGAAAAGAAUCAUCUACAAGGGAACUCACUGGACACAAUGCUGUCAUUUGGUAAUUUUGUGUCUUAAAAAAAUUAUAAAAAUAUUACCGGUUUUUAUGAUUUGAC
rnacentral:lncRNA from 1 species